GUGCCUAAUACAUGCAAGUCGAACGCACUUUCGUGGAGAUUGAAGGAGCUUGCUCCUGAUUGAUAAACAUUUGAGUGAGUGGCGGACGGGUGAGUAACACGUUUGUAACCUGCCCUAAAGUGGGGGAUAACAUUUGGAAACAGAUGCUAAUACCGCAUAAAACCUAACACCGCAUGGUGUAGGGUUGAAAGAUGGUUUCGGCUAUCACUUUAGGAUGGACCCGCGGUGCAUUAGUUAGUUGGUGAGGUAAAGGCUCACCAAGACCGUGAUGCAUAGCCGACCUGAGAGGGUAAUCGGCCACACUGGGACUGAGACACGGCCCAGACUCCUACGGGAGGCAGCAGUAGGGAAUCUUCCACAAUGGACGAAAGUCUGAUGGAGCAACGCCGCGUGAGUGAAGAAGGUUUUCGGAUCGUAAAACUCUGUUGUUGGAGAAGAAUGUAUCUGAUAGUAACUGAUCAGGUAGUGACGGUAUCCAACCAGAAAGCCACGGCUAACUACGUGCCAGCAGCCGCGGUAAUACGUAGGUGGCAAGCGUUGUCCGGAUUUAUUGGGCGUAAAGCGAGCGCAGGCGGUUUCUUAAGUCUGAUGUGAAAGCCUUCGGCUCAACCGAAGAAGUGCAUCGGAAACUGGGAAACUUGAGUGCAGAAGAGGACAGUGGAACUCCAUGUGUAGCGGUGAAAUGCGUAGAUAUAUGGAAGAACACCAGUGGCGAAGGCGGCUGUCUGGUCUGUAACUGACGCUGAGGCUCGAAAGCAUGGGUAGCAAACAGGAUUAGAUACCCUGGUAGUCCAUGCCGUAAACGAUGAGUGCUAGGUGUUGGAGGGUUUCCGCCCUUCAGUGCCGCAGCUAACGCAUUAAGCACUCCGCCUGGGGAGUACGACCGCAAGGUUGAAACUCAAAGGAAUUGACGGGGGCCCGCACAAGCGGUGGAGCAUGUGGUUUAAUUCGAAGCAACGCGAAGAACCUUACCAGGUCUUGACAUCCUUUGACCACUCUAGAGAUAGAGCUUUCCCUUCGGGGACAAAGUGACAGGUGGUGCAUGGUUGUCGUCAGCUCGUGUCGUGAGAUGUUGGGUUAAGUCCCGCAACGAGCGCAACCCUUAUUACUAGUUGCCAGCAUUUAGUUGGGCACUCUAGUGAGACUGCCGGUGACAAACCGGAGGAAGGUGGGGACGACGUCAAAUCAUCAUGCCCCUUAUGACCUGGGCUACACACGUGCUACAAUGGAUGGUACAACGAGUUGCGAGACCGCGAGGUUUAGCUAAUCUCUUAAAACCAUUCUCAGUUCGGAUUGUAGGCUGCAACUCGCCUACAUGAAGCCGGAAUCGCUAGUAAUCAAGGAUCAGCAUGCCGCGGUGAAUACGUUCCCGG
rnacentral:rRNA from 1 species